rnacentral:misc_RNA from 1 species
GAAUGAAGAACGCAGCGAAAUGCGAUAAGUAAUGUGAAUUGCAGAAUUCAGUGAAUCAUCGAAUCUUUGAACGCACCUUGCGCUCCUUGGUAUUCCGAGGAGCAUGCCUGUUUGAGUGUCAUGAAAUUCUCAACCUUUUCAGCUUUCUUUGUUGAUCAGGCUUGGAUGUGGGAGUAUGCGGGCUUCUCAGAAGUCGGCUCUCCUGAAAUGCAUUAGCGGGACCUUUGUUGCCUGGCUUUGGUGUGAUAAUUAUCUACGCCAUUGUAGUCAAGCAGCUUAAAAUGAGGUUUCAGCUUCUAACCGUCUCCCCUGAGACAACUUUUUGACAAUUUGACCUCAAAUCAGGUAGGACUACCCGCUGAACUUAAGCAUAUCAAUAAGCGGAGGA